CUGGAUUAUGUAGACGACAGAGGUUACCUAAGACUUGAUUAACCUGUCUAUGGUGACCUCGACCGUCGAAAGACGUGUCAUCCCAUUGGCUGCAUGACAAAAAACAAGGAAGUCAUGUCAUAUAUAUAGUGUACAAUAAACAAAUAAGUAAGAACAAAGUGGCCAAACGUGAGUACCUAUCACCAACCGGGAUGAUCAGUACCCGAGCUUCAGAUUGUGCAGGCGUUGACAGAGGUAGGACAAAGUGGCCCUUCUGAGUGCCCCUUCGUCGAACGACAGGAGCCUCGGUG
rnacentral:lncRNA from 1 species